rnacentral:rRNA from 1 species
GAUGAACGCUGGCGGCGUGCCUAAUACAUGCAAGUCGAGCGAACAGAUGAGGAGCUUGCUCCUCUGACGUUAGCGGCGGACGGGUGAGUAACACGUGGAUAACCUACCUAUAAGACUGGGAUAACUUCGGGAAACCGGUGCUAAUACCGGAUAAUAUAUUGAACCGCAUGGUUCAAUAGUGAAAGACGGUUUUGCUGUCACUUAUAGAUGGAUCCGCGCCGCAUUAGCUAGUUGGUAAGGUAACGGCUUACCAAGGCAACGAUGCGUAGCCGACCUGAGAGGGUGAUCGGCCACACUGGAACUGAGACACGGUCCAGACUCCUACGGGAGGCAGCAGUAGGGAAUCUUCCGCAAUGGGCGAAAGCCUGACGGAGCAACGCCGCGUGAGUGAUGAAGGUCUUCGGAUCGUAAAACUCUUUUAUUAGGGAAGAACAAAUGUGUAAGUAACUAUGCACGUCUUGACGGUACCUAAUCAGAAAGCCACGGCUAACUACGUG